UACAUGGGGUGCAAACGUUGCUCGGAAUUAUUGGGCGUAAAGCGCGCGUAGGCGGUUACUUAAGUCGGAUGUGAAAGCCCUCGGCUUAACUGAGGAAGUGCACCCGAAACUGAGUAGCUAGAGUACGAAAGAGGGUCGCGGAAUUCCCGGUGUAGAGGUGAAAUUCGUAGAUAUCGGGAGGAACACUGGUGGCGAAGGCGGCGACCUGGGUCGAGACUGACGCUGAGGCGCGAAAGCGUGGGGAGCAAACAGG
rnacentral:rRNA from 1 species